rnacentral:rRNA from 1 species
UACGUAGGGUGCAAGCGUUAAUCGGAAUUACUGGGCGUAAAGCGUGCGCAGGCGGUUUUGUAAGUCUGACGUGAAAGCCCCGGGCUCAACCUGGGAAUUGCGUUGGAGACUGCAAGGCUUGAAUCUGGCAGAGGGGGGGUAGAAUUCCACGUGUAGCAGUGAAAUGCGUAGAGAUGUGAAGGAACACCGAUGGCGAAGGCAGCCCCCCUGGGUCAAGAUUGACGCUCAUGCACGAAAGCGUGGGGAGCAAACAGG